CGAGGAAUAUUGGUCAAUGGGCGAUAGCCUGAACCAGCCAAGUCGCGUGAGGGAAGACGGCCCUACGGGUUGUAAACCUCUUUUGCCGGGGAGCAACGGCGGUGACGUGUCACCGAGAGGAGAGUGCCCGGAGAAAAAGCAUCGGCUAACUCCGUGCCAGCAGCCGCGGUAAUACGGAGGAUGCGAGCGUUAUCCGGAUUUAUUGGGUUUAAAGGGUGCGUAGGCGGCGUUCCAAGUCAGCGGUAAAAUUGCGGGGCUCAACCCCGCCGAGCCGUUGAAACUGGCGCGCUUGAGUGGGCGAGAAGUAUGCGGAAUGCGUGGUGUAGCGGUGAAAUGCAUAGAUAUCACGCAGAACCCCGAUUGCGAAGGCAGCAUACCGGCGCCCGACUGACGCUGAAGCACGAAAGCGUGGGUAUCGAACAGGAUUAGAUACC
rnacentral:rRNA from 1 species